UGUGAUUAUUUCUUUCAUUGUCUUUUGAAUACAACAUACUUAACAUUUUCUCUUUUUGAUGUCUUGCAGUGUAGAAACUUCGCUGUGUUAGUAGAUCUUCAUAUUUUGCCUCAAGGUUCAAGAAAAUCACCAGCUGGUUUUCAGAAUAGAAAAAAAGGAUAUAGGCUUCGCAUAACAGCUUAUUUCAUCAAAAGAGAGAUUCACCUUCAUUGUAUUGUGGGGAAGCCGAGUUAUGGAUGAAAAAAUAGAAACAAAGAUUAAUAACACAAGCAAAUUACAACUAGGUGGAGAAGUAUACUACAGACACCCAGAGAAGCCCAUCAAAAAAAUGGGGUGGGUUGGAGAUAGAUGUAAACCUAGGAAGGUAAAAAGGGUUAAAAAGUGUUAAUUUAUUGAAUAGAACUAUAUGAUCAUUAUUAAUGAGACCAAUAGUAUGUUUGCCAUACAUGUAAGUAUAAUGAAAUUGAAGACUUUUUAGUUUUGUUUUUAAAGAAAAGAAGUAGGUAGCAGGUUUAUAUGAGUACUGUCCUACAAAGUAGUCAUGUUUAGAAUAUAUACUUAUUCCAAUUCAGUCUAAUCUAACAAACAUUUAUUAAGUAUUCAUUAUGUGUCAGGCACUGGGGAUAUUAAGAUAGAAAAUGUAAACAGUCCAUAUCCUCAAAGAGCUUACAUUCCAAUUGUAAUGUUGGGUAAUUGGUGCUCCAAUUGAUGGAAUCACAGAAAAUAAAAGACAGAUAACAAAGGUAAUGGAGUAUUAA
rnacentral:lncRNA from 1 species